rnacentral:lncRNA from 1 species
GAACUUGGGUGUUCAUUCGUUGUAUUCCAUCCCCUCAUGGUUGCCUUAUUUGACUUAUAUUGCUGAGGAACCCCCGAAGCAUGUGUUGUCGCCCCGAUGAAAUAUUCUUAGACUAGGUCCCUUAUGUUAGUUCUCUUAGGGACGUAAAGUGAGAAUAACGGGAAUGGGUAAUUGGGUUAUUGUUGGUUGGUGGAAAUUAAAUAUAAUUAUUUAUUGUGGGUUGAAAACCCUAUAUGCUCACCAGGCUCCCAAGCCUGACCCACUCAGUUUUAUUUGUAUUACAGGAAGUGGCGCGAGGGCAUGAGAUGGAUGAACCAUCAAGUUGUUUUGUUUACAAGUCUGCAUAUGUUUAUAUUUGUUAUAUGACUUGUAAUGUAUUCGUUUAUGCUUAUUGGUCUGUAUCGGAACAUGACACCCCGAGUUUUGAUUAUAAUGAAAAUACAUUUCUUUUAUGAAAUGCUUCGGUAAACAAUGUUUUAUCAUGUUUUGUUUUUGGGAACAAAUUCCGCAACUCUUUCAAAUCAAAAGGAUUUACUCUGAAAAUAUUUAAAAGCAUAAAUGAAAAUCGGUCUUUUCUGGCCGAGAUUUUGGGGAUGUCACAGUUGGUAUCAGAGCAUUAGUUUAAGCGAACUAGGAAUUUGUAGGAUUUCUAGACUUAAACUUAGAAUGCUAAGUGAAGUUUUGAGAUGUGUGUCUGUUGUGUUUUAGACACGAGCACUAGUUUAUUUUAGGAAAGUUGCCUAAAAUGCUUUAUGUGCUAAAUGUUAUAUGUUGCCAUAUAUGAUAUUAUUUGUUCGGAUCUAUGGUCUGUUGCCGACCGGAUCUAGAAACCUUAUGUGUGUAGGAUUCUAAGCGUACGUCUACGAUAUUAGAACUAGCAUGUAAACGUUUCGGAGUGAUAAGGAUGAUUUGAAUAUCUAUCAUGAUUGAGGAUCUAAUUUCACCUUAUUCGGUGUAGAUCAAAAUGGUGAGAACAAGAAGUGGAGUUGGAAAUGCUGACGAAAACAGGAAUCAACCACCAGUGAUUGAGCCAAUACCUGUCGUAGCAGCAGCACCUGAGCCAAUAACCAUGGCUGGUGUGCAAUUGAUGAUUCAGACGAUGUUGGAUCGUCAGAUGGAUGAAACUAGACGGUUGCUUCAACAAAAUCGUGAAGAACUGUCGAUUCGUGUGGAAGAGCCUGAACUGAAUGAAGGGCACUCGGAAGGUGGAAACUUCAGUGGGUCUGUUGGUCCAGCCAACCCACCGAUAGUUAGGCAAGAUAACCAUGAUGGAAGGAAUGAUGGAAUGGGAUGCAAGUACAAGGACUUUUUGACUUGUAAACCAUCGACCUUCAAUGGAAAGGAGGAUCCGAUUGGGGUUAUGGAUUGGAUCUCCGAAAUGGAGUUAGCCUUUAUGACAUGUGGCUGUAGAGGCAAGUUGCAGACUAUCUAUGCCGUGCGACAAUUCCGAGGUGGAGCCGUUCGUUGGUGGAACACUCUAGGGAAGACCUUAAGCCCUAGCGAGCCACUGCAAUUGUCAUGGGCAGAGUUCUUGGUGCAGUUUAAGCGCAAGUUCUGCUCGGCUCAAAAUCUGUUGGAGUUGGAGAACAAGUUUCUGACAUUGACGAAGGGUAGCAUGUCAGUUGAUGAAUACACCAAUAACUUCACCGAUAAGAUGGAGUUUGCCUUGCGUAUCGUUCCAGACGAGCUGACAAAGGUGGAUCGGUAUGCGAAGGGACUUCCAUGGGAGUACGAGGUGCCGGUACGUCAGGCACUUACUCUAGAGGCAGCUAUCUGGGCUGCCAAGUCUGUGGAGAACAUGAUAAAGGGGAGAACCACCGACAAGGUUGAGGUUGGUGAGAAAAGGAAGUUUGAAGGAACAUCUGGUUCCAGUAAGAAGAGUAAAUUUUCGAAAUUUGAUUCGAAAAAGUUUGGAGGAAAAGGAGGCGAAGCGAAGUGGUGUGAUAAGUGUAGGAAAAAGCACUUUGGGAAAUGUAGCGAGGAUGUAACCUGCUACAAGUGUGGAAAGGUUGGACAUUUUGCCAAUGAAUGUCCGAACAACAAAAGGAUGUGUUUUGGGUGUAAUGAAGAGGGGCAUAUUUUGAAAGACUGUCCGAAGAAGAAGGAGGCAGCUAGGCCCAACAUUCCACCAAAGCCGAAGGCGAGAGCCUUCCAGAUGACACUUGAGGCUGCGAAAGAUGAAGCUGAUGUCGCUUCAGGUACCUUUCUCGUAAACGAAUUACCUGCUCAUAUAUUGUUUGAUUCUGGAGCCAACUACUCCUUUAUUUCGCAUGAGUUUGGUAGAAAGCUAGCUUUGCCUGUUGAUAGACUAAAUAAUGCUUUAUUAGUCGAAGUAGCUAGUGGCAAGUUUGUACCUGUUAGCCAUCGUAUGAAAAACGUCUUGAUCGACCUUAAUGGGAAUAAGUUUCUCGAGGAAUUAUUGCCUAUCGAACUAAAUGGUUUCGACAUCGUCUUGGGAAUGGAUUGGCUUAGCGCCAAUGAUGCCGAAAUUUUGUGCAAGAAGAAGAUAGUUAAAGUAAACCCGCCUGGGAAAGAUUCGUUUAUGGUGUAUGGGGACAAACGCAGAGUGAAUUCUGGAAUCAUUUCUCUAAUGAAAGCCAGAAAGUGUUUGACCAAGGGAUGUACAUCAUAUUUAGCAUUCGUGAUUGAUGCUAAGAAAGAAAAGAAGGUGAUGCAGAGUAUUCCAGUGGUGUGUGAUUAUCCGGAAGUAUUUCCCGAGGAUCUUCCUGGAUUACCACCUGAUAGACAAGUGGAGUUCAGAAUAGACUUGUUACCAGGAACCACGCCAAUAGCAAAAGCACCUUAUCGAUUAGCACCGACGGAGAUGAAGGAGCUAAUGAUGCAACUUCAGGAGUUAUUGGACAAAGGUUUCAUUAGACCUAGUUCAUCGCCCUGGGGAGCUCCGGUGUUAUUUGUAAAGAAGAAAGAUGGAAGUAUGAGAAUGUGCAUCGAUUACAGAGAGCUGAACAAGGCAACAAUAAAGAAUAGAUAUCCGUUGCCGAGGAUUGAUGACCUGUUUGAUCAAUUGCAAGGUUCGAGCUAUUUCUCGAAGAUCGAUCUUAGGUCAGGAUAUCAUCAGCUGAAAGUAAGAGAGCAAGAUAUCGAGAAGACUGCAUUCAGAACUAGAUAUGGACACUACGAGUUCUUGGUUAUGUCGUUUGGACUAACCAAUGCUCCAGCAGCGUUCAUGGAUUUGAUGAAUAGGGUUUGUAAUCCUUUCCUUGAUAAAUCCGUGAUAGUGUUCAUAGACGACAUUCUGAUUUACUCGAAAAGCCAGGAGGAGCAUGGCAGACACUUGCGAGAAGUGUUAGAAGUUUUGAAGAAGGAGAAGCUGUAUGCAAAGUUCUCCAAAUGUGAUUUUUGGAUUCGUGAAGUCCAAUUCUUGGGUCACGUGGUCAACCAAGAAGGGAUAAUGGUUGAUCCAGCGAAGAUCGAAGCUGUGACGAAGUGGGAACAACCGAAAAGUCCCACGGAGAUUCGAAGCUUUUUAGGAUUAGCCGGAUAUUACCGAAGGUUUAUCCAAGGCUUUUCUUCGAUUGCUACUCCAUUAACAGCUUUGACCCACAAAGGAGCUACUUAUGCUUGGAGUGAGAAGCAUAAAGAAGCAUUCGAGAAGUUAAAGAAGAAGCUAUGCGAGGCACCGAUACUUUCUCUACCCGAUGGAGUUGAAGACUUCGCUGUUUAUAGCGAUGCGUCUGGUGUUGGAUUGGGUUGUGUUUUGACCCAAAGAGAAAAGGUGAUAGCAUAUGCGUCUCGACAGCUGAAAGAGCAUGAAAAGAAUUACCCGACUCAUGAUUUGGAGUUGGCAGCGGUAGUUUUCGCUCUGAAAAUAUGGAGGCAUUACCUCUAUGGCACGAAGUGCAAACUUUUCACUGAUCAUAAGAGUCUCCAAUACCUCUUUAAUCAGAAAGAAUUGAAUAUGAGGCAACGACGCUGGCUAGAAUUACUUAAAGACUACGACUGCGAGAUACUUUACCACCCCGGUAAAGCUAAUGUUGUUGCUGAUGCUCUCAGUCGGAAAGUCAAUCUUGAAAGGAAGAGGCCAAGAGCGUUGAGAAUUGAAGUUGUCUCGACCAUUGUGGAAAGUAUAAAGAAAGCUCAAGAGGAAGCUUCUGAGAAAAAUGACCGAAAGGAGGAACGUUUGGGUAAAACGUUGGUGUUUGGUACUAACGGUCAUGGACUGAAGGUAUUCCAAGAUCGUAUUUGGGUACCUAAGUCAGGAGGAAUUAGAGAUCUUCUGAUGGAAGAAGCUCACAAGACCAUGUACUCGAUUCAUCCGGGUAGCACUAAAAUGUAUAGGGACCUGAAACCCUACUACUGGUGGCCGACGAUGAAGCUUGAUGUUGCAAAGUAUGUGGCUGAGUGUGUGACUUGUGCGAGAGUAAAGACACAACAUCAGAAACCGUACGGGAGUUUAGAACCAUUGCAUGUGCCUAUGGGUAAGUGGGAAGACAUUGCUAUGGAUUUUGUCACUAAACUGCCCAGAACAAAGAAUGGUCACGACAUGAUUUGGGUGGUCGUUGAUCGAUUCACUAAGAGUGCGCAUUUCAUAGCGGCCAAGGAGAAAUGGUCUAUGGAAAAGCUUGCGAAUUCUUACGUGAAGGAAAUUGUGAGGCUUCACGGUGUUCCGUUAACGAUUGUAUCGGAUCGUGAUAGCCGUUUCACCUCAAGGUUUUGGAAAAGUCUACAAGAGGAAUUGGGUACCAAGUUGUGUUUAAGUACAGCUUACCAUCCGCAGACUGAUGGUCAGAGUGAAAGAACAAUACAAACACUUGAAGAUAUGCUGAGAGCAUGUACCCUGGAAUUCCUAGGUAACUGGGAUGAACAUUUACCUUUGGUAGAAUUUUCCUACAAUAAUAGUUUCCACUCGAGCAUAAAUAUGGCACCUUAUCAAGCUUUGUACGGACAAAAGUGUUGUACGCCGUCUUGUUGGCUUGAGGCUGGGGAAAAGCAGUUUAUGGAGCCUGAGAUGGUCCAUCAGACUGCUGAGAAGUUGAAAGUGAUCAGGGAAAGAAUGUUAGCAGCUCAAGAUCGUCAAAAGAGUUAUGCUGACAAGAAGCGAAGACCGAUGAAUUUUGAAGUUGGAGAUUCGGUUUUACUUAAAGUAUCGUCGUGGAAGGGACUUAUAAAAUUUGGUAGAAGAGGAAAGUUGAGUCCAAGGUUUAUUGGACCAUUUAAAGUUCUUCAGAGGAUCGGGAAUCAAGCUUACAAGCUAGCAUUACUGGAAGAACUAGAGAGUAUUCAUAACACCUUUCAUGUGUGUUAUUUGAGAAAGUUCACGGGAGGUGUGCCCGACAUAAUUCCUAUUUCUGAAUUNGAAUUGAGAAUUGAUGAAAACAAGCGGUUAAUUGAAGAACCAGAGGCAAUCGUUGACCGAAAGACUAAGAAGUUGCGACGCAAGAUAGUCGAAUUAGUGCUUGUCCGUUGGAAACAUUUGAAUGGGUCAAAUCUCACCUGGGAACGGAGAGUGACAUGUUGAGUCGCUAUCUGCAUUUGUUUGUUGAUGUGUGAUUCUGGGGACGGAAUCAUCCUAAGGGGGAGAGAAUUGUAACGCCCGCGUUUCCAGGCUAGGCAUUAUCAUUGAUGUAAUAGUCUAGGUUCACCCUUGUAACUCUUUUUGGAGUAUUAAUGAUGAUAUAUUUGAGUAUUAUGUGAAUUAUGUGUUUAUUUUCUUAAUUAUUAUAAUUUAAUGAAUUAAGAAUAAAAUAAGCGUCAAANAGUAUAUGUUACAAGGAUUCCGUACAUAUAAAGAACGCCGAAAUCCGAGUUAUAACGAAGAAGUUAUGACCUGUCGAAGUUUCGCGACAGAACCGGCACGACACAGCGCGACGUAAAAAGUGAAUUUACAUUAGAGUGAUAUUUAGCUUUAUCAAUCUAAAUGAAAGUCGUAGAGUUCGUUAAACCAUGAGCGUGCAUAAAAAGAACGCCCAAAUCUGACUUCGUAUGAGGAAGUUAUGAUUUUUCGAAGUUUCGACUUAGCGGUAUGCAGCCCGAAUACUCGAUUUGAGACCGAGCGGUUUUUAGCCGAAACAAUCUAAAUGAGAAUCGAAGAUCUCAUUAAUUGUAGUAAAACGAUAAAAAGAUAGGCGAAAACGGACGUCGGAUGAAGAGGUUAUGAUUUUAUAACGGAGUUUUCCUGUCCCGGCCUACUAAAAAUAAAUAAUAAAAAUAAAGUCAAUAUUAGCCGACGGAGUCUAAACGAAAGUUAUAAAGCGUAGUCUCACCUACGCGGGGAUAUAAAGAACGUCGACGAUAUGAAUUUUUGAAGUUUAUUAAAUAUUUUCGAUAUUUAAUUUAAACAUAUAUUAACUGAUAUUAUCCUUGGGGGAGUCAGCGACCUUAUUGUCAUUACGCCCAGCGUAAUUUCAUAUUACGCCCAGCGUAAUUCGAACUUCCAGCCCCUAUAAAAGGAGAUCGACGGCAACCGAGUUCAUUGCUCAUUUCUUCCCUUUUUCUCGCGUUUUUGCAUCGUUUUUCGUGCAAGAAUUAUCCCGAAGCCCCGGUAUCAUUCCCGAGCCCCGAAGCAAGUCCCGAGGUCCCGAUGAUCCCGAGAAGUAAGAUUCCUGAACCGAAGCUCUGACCGCGAGGAGUCCGGUUUUUGUGAAGAUCUUCCAGAUCUGCCGAAGAAUACUACUUCUACAAGUCGUAGUGCUGUCCGAUCAUCUUCUGAUCAAGUGAGUGUGUAGUUACUUUCUUCUAACGCAUAAUUAUGAAGUAUUUUAUAUAAAAUACGUGUUAUGUGUAUAUUUUGUUGUUAUGUGUGUGAAUGUAUAUUCACUUUCUUCUAUCUUAUAGAUCUGAUUAUUUCUCUAUGAAAUACGUGUUAUGUGUGUGUGCCUCAUCUGUUAUGUGGAAAAUGUAUUGAUUGAGCAUGCUAUACAGGUUUUAAAACUAUGUAUAAAAAUGUAUAUUUUAUCUACUAAUAUGUUGGGUAGAACAUGGGUAGAUAGUUGGUGUGUAAUAAACAGAUGAGAGGCCUCGAUGUUGUUUUGAUCUAGUCAUCUAGCGGAAUUUAGAUGACGACCACGGACUUUUCUAGAUAGUCCAGUGGAACGCUAGCAGGCUCAUAACCUGUAGGUGUUAAUGAACUUGGGUGUUCAUUCGUUGUAUUCCAUCCCCCUCAUGGUUGCCUUAUUUGACUUAUAUUGCUGAGGAACCCCCGAAGCAUGUGUUGUCGCCCCGAUGAAAUAUUCUUAGACUAGGUCCCUUAUGUUAGUUGUCUUAGGGACGUAAAGUGAGAAUAACGGGAAUGGGUAAUUGGGUUAUUGUUGGUUGGUGGAAAUUAAAUAUAAUUAUUUAUUGUGGGUUAAAAACCCU